rnacentral:lncRNA from 1 species
AGGGAACUAAACUUGGCUACGGAGGAGAGGCGGCAGGAGGAACCAACCCUUAGGCGUUUCUCGCGCAGCCUUUGGAAAACUCAGCCGCCGGCGGUCGGAGGGGGACGGACGGACGGACGGACGGAGGGUCGGACGGAGGGGGCAGUGCACCUGUUUGCGGCGGGGGCUGGGCGGGGGUCCCGGCCUGGCGCUCGCCGACCCCAGCCCGGGCACCUGCGGGCUCCCCCCGGCCCGUCGGGGCUGGCAGCGCCCGCUCCCCUCCGCGGCCCCGGGCUGCCGAGAGCUGCUGCUCCUCCCCGUGGGACGCUCCUGCCUGCUGGGGCCCUGGGUGAUGCUCUGAAGCACGGUCCCCACCGUCCCCCCCAGAGGCACUGCCCCAAAGCAUCAGGUGCGUCCAUGGGACGAGUCAUCCCUUGGGGAACACAGGGACGAGGUGAUUUUGAUUCCUCCCUGCUGUUCAGGACCCACAGGAUGGUUUCUCAGCUGUGCAAGGGAACAGCACUCCCUGUGGGGCUGGCAGGCUGCGUGAUGGUGCCUUUACCUGGUCCUGUCCCGUGGGACAAGGACCGACCUUGUCUUGCCACGGCGGGCACCUGCCACCAUUUUCAGCUUUUCCCCUUCCCAGACCAUCUCUGGCUCCUGAGCACAUGGGUCUGAUGAUCCCUUGACCACGUGAAGAUUUUGCUGUAGUUUCUGGAAAUUUGGCGCUGCUCACGCUGAGCACCCGGGCUGCAGGGGAAGGUCAGGGCUUCAGACGUAUUUAAGAGCACUUGCCCCGUGUCACUAUGACUCCGAAAAAGUAAACGCGGAGAGGGCACGCAGCUUCUUACAAAGUACAGCACCUGUCUCCUGAGGUCUCUGUUGAACUCUAAACAGUGCCUUGGAAAGCACACAAACUCUCAAUCCAGCUGCCAAUUCAGAGGGCCCCGGGAGACGCACUGUGUGUGUGGGUGUGGAGGGAAAGGAGCUCUCGCUAGUGGGAAGUAAACACUUAAUGAACUAAUUAUAUGUAGAAUGGGCAAAGUGUCUGACUCCCUGACACACAAUAUAAACGUACUUACAUGUGAAGGAAAUAUGUGAUUUGUAUCAUUUCAUUGUUACUGUCAAGAGCUUAAUGGGGUUCAAAAAAGGAUUAGCUAUUAUGAAUAGUGGGAACAUUUGCUUAACACUAAAUAGGCCAAAAAUUAAGAACGGAUCUCAGCCUUAUGCGUCAACUUAUUAGUCAGCCCUCAGUUGGCGAUGGGUAGGGAAGGGAAAGCAAGCCUUCCACCGGGGUCAGAUUGUUCCCUCGUCCGACAAAGACUCACCUGAUGGCUCUCUCCCGCCUCCUGUCUUGGCAGCUGUCAGAGGUGGGCAGCUGGGUUUCUCCAGCAUGGUCAUUCACGUGUUCCAGCUUUUUGGCCUUCCACAUCUCGAAAGCCAUCUCCUAAGGAAGAGGCACUUUUCUGUCCAGUGUUUGCUACCAGACUGAUCUUGGUGAGCAUCCCUAAAAGCUGUGGGUUGUGAGAGGCCAGGCCGACAAAGAAGUUUAAUAAGGUAAUUAGUAAUUCAGCUACUUCUUUUUAUUUCUCCUCUGGGGCAACUUGCUACUGUUGACCUUUUUUCAAAUCUUUCCUUGCCUGUUCCUCCCCAGAAGGACUUUCUGGCUUCCAAGCACUAUGCUCAAUAUGCAAGGCUAGAACUUCCACUACCAACAUGCUCCCCCACGUGUUAUUUAUUAUUCAUAAACCUCCCGGGUUUCAGUGUCACUCUGAGUUAGCACAAUUUUUCAUAUGGUUGUUUAGCACUUUGCAACGUGGCACAUAUUCGGUAAGAGGAGACUUUUUAAACACAUGCACACACACACACAUACGGAAUAAGGUCAUUAGCAUAUCCUGCAUGUCCAAGUCCAACUCUUUGGAAAAAAAUAUUUGAUAACACAGUAAUAUAGUUGUUACAUUAAUAAUAAUAAACAUGAGAUUCUGCAAAAUGCUGUAUCA